rnacentral:rRNA from 1 species
GAUGAACGCUGGCGGCGUGCUUAACACAUGCAAGUCGAACGAAGCAUUUGCGACAGAUUUUUUCGGAAUGAAGUUGCUUAUGACUGAGUGGCGGACGGGUGAGUAACGCGUGGGUAACCUGCCUUGUACUGGGGGAUAGCAGCUGGAAACGGCUGGUAAUACCGCAUAAGCGCACAAUGUUGCAUGACAUGGUGUGAAAAACUCCGGUGGUAUAAGAUGGACCCGCGUCUGAUUAGCUAGUUGGUGAGAUAACAGCCCACCAAGGCGACGAUCAGUAGCCGAGCUGAGAGGGUGACCGGCCACAUUGGGACUGAGACACGGCCCAGACUCCUACGGGAAGCAGCAGUGGGGAAUAUUGCACAAUGGAGGAAACUCUGAUGCAGCGACGCCGCGUGAGUGAAGAAGUAAUUCGUUAUGUAAAGCUCUAUCAGCAGGGAAGAUAGUGACGGUACCUGACUAAGAAGCUCCGGCUAAAUACGUG